CCGGCGGUCGCAGAUUCAAGUUUUUCUAGCCGCUUUCUUGUAGAAGUACCUUUGGUCACCCGGCGGCUGCUCGCACUACAAUUCCGCUGCAGAAUUUCCCAGAGCUGAGGCAGACGCACCUAGCUUUCUUUAGGGAAGAAUGGAUUUGUUAAAACUAUUUUAUGUUGUCGUUCGGAGCUCUUUGCCGGAAAAAGGAAGAUUUGAAUGAAGGGUGGAACAUGGCUCUGGCUUAAGAGGUUGCUCUUUGAGGGAGCGGAUUGAGGAGACCGGAAUAUGAAAGAAAAAGGAAAUUUCUAACUAAGAAAUGAAGAAGGUUGUUGAAAAAAGGUGGAAGACUACUGUGAGGUGGAAGAAGGCCCUCAGUCAAUGGGAGGUCUCUCUUCCCCGGUAAUAAAUAUACGAAGCUCAUCAGGAUCAACACCGGAGGAGUGACUGACCUGGAGUGUAAAGAUGAUUUUAAAAGGCCUGGAUAAAUUUGUGGAUUUAUCUGUAAACCACAGUUGAUUUUGCCUCCUACUUUUAGAAAAUGGUUACCAUUAUGGUUCUUCAUAUGGAAGUUGCUCUGAAGUGCUGUGGAAGAGAACUACAAGGAUAAUUAGGAACCCUUCCUCUGGUUCCCAGUUUUUGUUUGUAAAAUGCCCUCCAAUGCCCUCUGUCUUUGCCAAAUCACCCUAAAACCUCCAGAACCGAGUUCUUCAUUCAACAAAUUCAGGUUUAUUGAUCCACUACAAUGAGGGAGAGCUCACACCAGAGGAACUGUGGGGCAUCUCCCCAAACAAAGGAAAAGAUGUAGUUACAGGGUGUUGGGGGGAGGGUGGAGUUCAGGUAAAAUUUAAAUGAAGUUGUGUUUUGAUAGUGUUAAAGAAAAAAACACAGAUAUAAGUGUAGAACCAGCUCGAACUGGCUGUAUCCUGUUCCUAACAAGAUAAUUGAGUUGUUUUUCUGGGACAACAGAACAAAACUGCAAGUUAUUCAGCCAAGCAUAAGCAGAGGAGAGAAUUUUGACUUCCCAUUACAUCUUGAACCAAAGUUUCACCUCACCCCCAACCCUGCCUCCCACAGAAGCGAAAGACAAGAGAGGACCGGAACCUGAACACCAGGAACCCUUUCAGAAGUGGAGGAUCCACCGUCUAAGAAGAUGUAGUGCUGAAGCCCCUUACCAUGUCUAACCAUAAAUGGCCAAGUUCCAAAGCUCUCCAAUUGCGACUUGCCCUGCCAGUGCUUCUGCAUACCAGCCUGUUCCCCUCGACCCCUUAAAUACCUCUCUGAACUCUGGGUCAAGGAGACAGAUUUGAGCUCUGCUUCCUGUCCUCUUACUAUCACCCUCACAAUAAAGCUUUUCCUUUUUUCAAAAGCCAGUGCCACAGUGUUGGCUUCUAUGAGCAUGGGGCAGCAUUCCCUUGCUCCAGAACACAGGCCCAAAAUGGUGUUACUAGUGCUGAAAGCACAGGAUACCAAACCUAGAUUUAAUACCUGAUCUAAUUGCAGUUUUAACUUCUCCCAGAAACACGGCCUUAACCAGUAUGGAAUUUUCUGAUCAAGCACCAGUAAGAUAGUCACAUAGGCUCUCUUCAUCCCCCAUAGAAAGAAGAGGCAAUCUACACAAUAUAAACACUGCCCCUUCUCUUCCCUCUAAGAAAAGAUGUCUUGGCCCAAAAAUAAUCCUUUCUUUUCUUUCGCUAAUAGCUCCCUUGCCCACCCUUCUUUUAAAAUACUUUUAUUUUGUACAACUUCGAGCACCCUUCUAAUUGCUAGAUGGGAUGUUGCCUGACUCAUGAAUUGCUUAAUAAAGUCAUUUAGAUCUUCGCA